rnacentral:rRNA from 1 species
CACGUAGGGGGCGAGCGUUGUCCGGAUUUAUUGGGCGUAAAGAGCUCGUAGGCGGUUUCGUAAGUCGGAUGUGAAAACUCCAGCUCAACUUGGAGACGCCAUUCGAUACUGCGAUGACUUGAGUCCGGUAGGGGAGUGUGGAAUUCCUGGUGUAGCGGUGAAAUGCGCAGAUAUCAGGAGGAACACCGGCGGCGAAGGCGGCACUCUGGGCCGGUACUGACGCUGAGGAGCGAAAGCCAGGGGAGCAAACGGG